rnacentral:rRNA from 1 species
CCUACGGGAGGCAGCAGUGGGGAAUAUUGGGCAAUGGGCGCAAGCCUGACCCAGCAACGCCGCGUGAAGGAAGAAGGCUUUCGGGUUGUAAACUUCUUUUGUCAGGGAAGAGUAGAAGACGGUACCUGACGAAUAAGCCACGGCUAACUACGUGCCAGCAGCCGCGGUAAUACGUAGGUGGCAAGCGUUGUCCGGAUUUACUGGGUGUAAAGGGCGUGUAGCCGGGUUGACAAGUCAGAUGUGAAAUCCUGCGGCUUAACCGCAGAACUGCAUUUGAAACUGUUGAUCUAGAUUGCAGGAGAGGUAAGUGGAAUUCCUAGUGUAGCGGUGAAAUGCGUAGAUAUUAGGAGGAACACCAGUGGCGAAGGCGGCUUACUGGACUGUAAAUGACGCUGAGGCUCGAAAGCGUGGGGAGCAAACAGGAUUAGAUACCCCUGUAGUC